UACGUAGGGCGCAAGCGUUGUCCGGAAUUAUUGGGCGUAAAGAGCUCGUAGGCGGCUUGUCACGUCGGGUGUGAAAAGCCCGGGGCUUAACCCCCGGGUCUGCAUUCGAUACGGGCUAGCUAGAGUGUGGUAGGGGGAGAUCGGAAUUCCUGGUGUAGCGGUGAAAUGCGCAGAUAUCAGGAGGAACACCGGUGGCGAAGGCGGAUCUCUGGGCCAUUACUGACGCUGAGGAGCGAAAGCGUGGGGAGCGAACAGG
rnacentral:rRNA from 1 species